rnacentral:misc_RNA from 2 species
UCACGGUAUCAAGCUUGGCUUGGUGUUGGGCCCUUUGUCACCUGGUGACAGGUCCGAAAGACAAUGACUGGUGUAACAGACUCCAUAUGCAACGAGCUUAUAACAGCACGCAUUUGGCAGUUGUGUGACCCGGUCUUCACCCUUUCUUUCUCAA